rnacentral:rRNA from 1 species
UACAGAGACUGCAAGCGUUUAUUCGGAUUCACUGGGCGUAAAGGGUGCGCAGGCGGCCGAGUGUGUGAGGCGUGAAAGCCCGGGGCUUAACCCCGGAAUUGCACCUCAAACUACACGGCUAGAGCAUUGGAGAGGGUAGCAGAAUUCACGGUGUAGCAGUGAAAUGCGUAGAUAUCGUGAGGAAUACCAGAGGCGAAGGCGGCUACCUGGACAAUUGCUGACGCUCAGGCACGAAAGCGUGGGGAUCAAACAGG